rnacentral:rRNA from 1 species
UAGUAACUGCGAAGUGAAGCGGGAAAAGCUCAAAUUUAAAAUCUGGUGGUCUUUGGCCAUCCGAGUUGUAGUCUGGAGAAGUGCUUUCCGCGUUGGACCGUGUACAAGUCUCUUGGAACAGAGCGUCAUAGAGGGUGAGAAUCCCGUCUUUGACACGGACUACCAAUGCUUUGUGAUGCGCUCUCAAAGAGUCGAGUUGUUUGGGAAUGCAGCUCAAAAUGGGUGGUAAAUUCCAUCUAAAGCUAAAUAUUGGCGAGAGACCGAUAGCGAACAAGUACCGUGAGGGAAAGAUGAAAAGCACUUUGGAAAGAGAGUUAAACAGUACGUGAAAUUGCUGAAAGGGAAACGCUUGAAGUCAGUCGCGUUGGCCGGAACUCAGCCUUGCUUUUGCUAGGUGCACUUUCUGGUUGACGGGCCAGCAUCAAUUUUGAUUGUUGGAUAAAGGUUGGGGGAAUGUGGCACCUUCGGGUGUGUUAUAGCCCUCAGUCACAUACAACAGUUGGGAUUGAGGAUCUCAGCACGCCUUUAUGGCCGGGGUUCGCCCACGUUCGUGCUUAGGAUGCUGGCAUAAUGGCUUCAAACGACCCGUCUUGAAACACGGACCAAGGAGUCUAACAUGCCUGCGAGUGUUUGGGUGGAAAACCCGAGCGCGUAAUGAAAGUGAAAGUUGGGAUCUCUGUCAUGGAGAGCACCGACGCCCGGACCUGACCUUCUGUGACGGCUCCGCGGUA